rnacentral:rRNA from 1 species
AGAGUUUGAUCAUGGCUCAGAUUGAACGCUGGCGGCAUGCUUUACACAUGCAAGUCGAACGGCAGCACGGGUGCUUGCACCUGGUGGCGAGUGGCGAACGGGUGAGUAAUAUAUCGGAACGUACCCGGAAAUGGGGGAUAACGUAGCGAAAGUUACGCUAAUACCGCAUAUGCCCUGAGGGGGAAAGUGGGGGAUCCGCAAGGACCUCACGUUUUCGGAGCGGCCGAUAUCAGAUUAGCUAGUAGGUGAGGUAAAGGCUCACCUAGGCGACGAUCUGUAGCGGGUCUGAGAGGACGACCCGCCACACUGGAACUGAGACACGGUCCAGACUCCUACGGGAGGCAGCAGUGGGGAAUUUUGGACAAUGGGGGCAACCCUGAUCCAGCCAUGCCGCGUGAGUGAAGAAGGCCUUCGGGUUGUAAAGCUCUUUCAGCCGGAAAGAAAACGCACGGGUUAAUAACCCGUGUGGAUGACGGUACCGGAAGAAGAAGCACCGGCUAACUACGUGCCAGCAGCCGCGGUAAUACGUAGGGUGCGAGCGUUAAUCGGAAUUACUGGGCGUAAAGCGUGCGCAGGCGGUUUUGUAAGACAGAUGUGAAAUCCCCGGGCUCAACCUGGGAACUGCAUUUGUGACUGCAAGGCUAGAGUACGGCAGAGGGGGGUAGAAUUCCACGUGUAGCAGUGAAAUGCGUAGAUAUGUGGAGGAAUACCGAUGGCGAAGGCAGCCCCCUGGGUCGAUACUGACGCUCAUGCACGAAAGCG